UGUAGUCCGGUGUUUUGUAGCAUUCUUUGUUUUGGUUGAAGAGGGGAUUAGUUAUCGGCUACAU
rnacentral:tRNA from 1 species